ACUAAGCCAGGGUGAUUUGCCUCUCUUCAUCCCGGUCUCCCAUCUCUCUCUGCUUAAUCCCCAUAGUUCCCCAUGUUUUUUUUGCCUAGAAGAUGUUUGACAAAAAUAAUGAAGGGGAAGAUUUUAUUGAUUCCCUCGAUCUGAUCUUUGGCCAUACUCGUGUUUGCGUUCCAGCCAAGGACUAAAUUGUUUUUGCUGUUUUUCGUGAUGCAAUUAUGCCCUGUUUUGCCUCCUCUCUUGCAAGGAUCAUUCAGCUGUCACAUGCCCGUCUUGGGAUGAUCAUGGGUCACUAGCUAGAUGGUAUUGAAGGUGUUUGAUAAUUUUCUACUUUGCAAGUUCUGGGAUUGCAAGAUUUCCUAAUCAUAUUCAGAAUGAUAUUACAUUUGAAGAGGACCCUGAAUGCAGGAGAAAGUGUUCAUUUUGCCCGUGUUUUGGUCUUACCAUAUGGUUGGAGCGAGAUUCCUUUUUAUUUAUGCCUACAUGAUCUUUGAUGAAAAUACAAGUGGGCAACAGAGAAAUAUUGAGGCCUGUAAUAUGCAUUCUACACAAUAGAUUUAUUUUCUGAUGUUUAGCUAAAAUAUGUGAUUUUUUUUGCUUUUAUAUCUUCCUGUCACUUGAGCUCAUCCAUCCAGAUUUAGGACCUGCCCAUUAUUCAUGUAUUAUGUCUCUUUACACAUAGGUUGUUUCCCAGGCUGUUCAGUAUGCAAUAGUUUAUUCAGGACCUACCAAUGUACCUCCAGGUCUGCCAAUUGAAAAAAGGUAUAUAGUACCUAAUUAUUUAGACUUUCAUGUAACUUAAAAUCUCAAUACAGAAUUAUUAAUACAUGUGAUGCUUUCUUAGGCAUGAUUGCUGAUACGAGUACGGUGUAUAGAUACACAAACGACUGAAUUACUGUCCCAUCUAUUUUUGGGAGCUCAUUUGUGUAUCUCAAUCAAGCAAAAGGAUAAAAUUGAUAAAUGAAAAUUUUGUAGUCUUAUAUAUUGGUUGCUCAUGUGUGCUGCCACCAUUCAUAUGCUGUAGUGGAGUUUCAACAGAUUGGAAAGGUACCACUCGAGCACGUUCACUCACAGAUUGUUGCAGUGGGGUUUCAGUAGAAAGCCAAUACAAGUGAGAUAGCUAACCGCACCAAUCAGUUGUGCGAAUCGCGUGCAAGUGUCCAGUAAAGCGGAGUGGUUGUCACUCCAAGCUGCAAAGUGAAAUAUCACUCUCAGUCAGCCACUUAGGUGACUCAACAACCUGACAGAUAAAUGAUUACUAAAACUAUUUGGACUGAAUAAUGGUCCAUGUGACCGAAAUAGCAUGCUGAUAUCAUCCUAUAAUAAAAGCAGCAGAAUGGGAUAAUGUUGGUGGCUGAGGGUGCCACAAAAAUUGGGAGGAAUGGGACGUUCUGCUCUUUCUCUUUGCAAACAUUGGGAGGAAUGAAGUGUUCUGCUCAUUUUCUUUGUACAAUGGUAUCAAAAGUCGUUCCUUCAGCGAAACAGUCCCCUAACAUGUGCACCAAUAGGUCAACAACAUAUCGUUACAAGCACGAUGUAGGUAUGUCUAGGCUCCUUAUUGGUGGGUAUCAUCUCAAUUUCUUGAUGCCGUGUGUUCUGCUCUUGGUUGUGCAUGCCAAACGGCUAAUGCAUUUUUCUACUUAUUGUAGGGUACUAAUCAGUCAUAUGUAACUUCAGCUCUACGAGAAAUAGUGAAAUUUCUUUUAGAGUACCUGCCAUUUCUUUGCUGGAAUUGUUGUCGACUGUAAUGAUAUACGUAUUUGAACCAGAAGUCCUUGUGAAUAUUUUUCA